CAGUAGCCGCGGGAAUGCGUAGGUGGCAAGCGUUGUCCGGAAUUAUUGGGCGUAAAGGGCUCGCAGGCGGUUUCUUAAGUCUGAUGUGAAAGCCCCCGGCUCAACCGGGGAGGGUCAUUGGAAACUGGGAAACUUGAGUGCAGAAGAGGAGAGUGGAAUUCCACGUGUAGCGGUGAAAUGCGUAGAGAUGUGGAGGAACACCUGUGGCGAAGGCGACUCUCUGGUCUGUAACUGACGCUGAGGCACGAAAGCGUGGGGAGCAAACAGGAUUAGAUACCCGCGUAGUCCCUGUCUCUUAUAC
rnacentral:rRNA from 1 species